rnacentral:rRNA from 2 species
UGCAGUCUUGCGGACAGAUGGGAGCUUGCUCCCUGAUGUUAGCGGCGGACGGGUGAGUAACACGUGGGUAACCUGCCUGUAAGACUGGGAUAACUCCGGGAAACCGGGGCUAAUACCGGAUGGUUGUUUGAACCGCAUGGUUCAGACAUAAAAGGUGGCUUCGGCUACCACUUACAGAUGGACCCGCGGCGCAUUAGCUAGUUGGUGAGGUAACGGCUCACCAAGGCAACGAUGCGUAGCCGACCUGAGAGGGUGAUCGGCCACACUGGGACUGAGACACGGCCCAGACUCCUACGGGAGGCAGCAGUAGGGAAUCUUCCGCAAUGGACGAAAGUCUGACGGAGCAACGCCGCGUGAGUGAUGAAGGUUUUCGGAUCGUAAAGCUCUGUUGUUAGGGAAGAACAAGUGCCGUUCAAAUAGGGCGGCACCUUGACGGUACCUAACCAGAAAGCCACGGCUAACUACGUGCCAGCAGCCGCGGUAAUACGUAGGUGGCAAGCGUUGUCCGGAAUUAUUGGGCGUAAAGGGCUCGCAGGCGGUUUCUUAAGUCUGAUGUGAAAGCCCCCGGCUCAACCGGGGAGGGUCAUUGGAAACUGGGGAACUUGAGUGCAGAAGAGGAGAGUGGAAUUCCACGUGUAGCGGUGAAAUGCGUAGAGAUGUGGAGGAACACCAGUGGCGAAGGCGACUCUCUGGUCUGUAACUGACGCUGAGGAGCGAAAGCGUGGGGAGCGAACAGGAUUAGAUACCCUGGUAGUCCACGCCGUAAACGAUGAGUGCUAAGUGUUAGGGGGUUUCCGCCCCUUAGUGCUGCAGCUAACGCAUUAAGCACUCCGCCUGGGGAGUACGGUCGCAAGACUGAAACUCAAAGGAAUUGACGGGGGCCCGCACAAGCGGUGGAGCAUGUGGUUUAAUUCGAAGCAACGCGAAGAACCUUACCAGGUCUUGACAUCCUCUGACAAUCCUAGAGAUAGGACGUCCCCUUCGGGGGCAGAGUGACAGGUGGUGCAUGGUUGUCGUCAGCUCGUGUCGUGAGAUGUUGGGUUAAGUCCCGCAACGAGCGCAACCCUUGAUCUUAGUUGCCAGCAUUCAGUUGGGCACUCUAAGGUGACUGCCGGUGACAAACCGGAGGAAGGUGGGGAUGACGUCAAAUCAUCAUGCCCCUUAUGACCUGGGCUACACACGUGCUACAAUGGACAGAACAAAGGGCAGCGAAACCGCGAGGUUAAGCCAAUCCCACAAAUCUGUUCUCAGUUCGGAUCGCAGUCUGCAACUCGACUGCGUGAAGCUGGAAUCGCUAGUAAUCGCGGAUCAGCAUG